rnacentral:rRNA from 1 species
UGCAUGUCUGAGUACAGACCGAUCUAAGGUGAAACCGCGAAUGGCUCAUUAAAUCAGUCGUAAUUUCUUGGAUAGUGAAAAACUUUCCUCGGAUAACUGUGGAAAAUCCAGAGCUAAUACGUGCAACUGAGCUCCGACCUAGGCGCGAGCCUUGGGAAGAGCGCAUUUAUUAGAUUCAAAACUGACCGACGUACUCCUCCGGGAUACGUCGUUCGUCAAAUGUUUGAUGACUCCGGAUAACUUAGCCGAGCGCUACGGUCUUUAGUACCGGCGCCGUAUCUUUCAAGUGUCUGCCUUAUCAGCUUUCGAUUGUAGGUUAAACGCCUACAAUGGCUGUAACGGGUAACGGGGAAUCAGGGUUCGAUUCCGGAGAGGGAGCCUGAGAAACGGCUACCACAUCUAAGGAAGGCAGCAGGCACGCAAAUUACCCACUCCCAGCCCGGGGAGGUAGUGACGAAAAAUAACGAUGCGAGACUCUUCCGAGGCCUCGCAAUCGGAAUGAGUCCAUCCUAAAUCUUUGGACGAGGAUCCAUUGGAGGGCAAGUCUGGUGCCAGCAGCCGCGGUAAUUCCAGCUCCAAUAGCGUAUAUUAAAGUUGCUGCGGUUAAAAAGCUCGUAGUUGGACUUUCUAGAUCCAUUUCGUGGGUGAGUCGCUCGUUGUACUAGCGAUUCGCGUCAGUCACUAGAUGAUGUCGUGUUUAGUCGGCGUGAUUUCUACUAAGUAAGCUUCGCGGUUUACGAUAGGGGAACCGUCUUCKAUUCGCGGUAAACUUUCUAGCGGACGGCGUUUCUCGGUCUUCGGGUAUAGCUCGCCCGCGUUUGGUACAAUUAAAAUUUUGUCGGCUCGCUCGGAGUGCUCUUUACCGAGUGUUCCAGGGUGGCCGACACGUUCACUUUGAAAAAAUUAGAGUGCUUAAAGCGGGCUGUAAAAACGGCCGGAAUGUCUGUGCAUGGAAUGAAGUAACAGGACCUCGAUUCUGUUCUUUUUGUCGGUUUUAAUGAACCGAGGUAAUGAUUAAAAGGGACAGACGGUGGCAUUAGUAUUGCGACGCUAGAGGUGAAAUUCUUGGACCGUCGCAAGACUAACUACUGCGAAAGCAUUUGCCGAGAAUGUUUUCAUUAAUCAAGAACGAAAGUUAGAGGAUCGAAGGCGAUCAGAUACCGCCCUAGUUCUAACCCUAAACUAUGCUAACUAGCGAUCCGCCGAAGUCAUUCCCACGACUCGGCGGGAAGCCCCAGGGAAACCAAAGUCUUUGAGUUCCGGGGGAAGUAUGGUUGCAAAGCUGAAACUUAAAGGAAUUGACGGAAGGGCACCACCAGGAGUGGAGCCUGCGGCUUAAUUUGACUCAACACGGGAAACCUCACCAGGCCCGGACAUCAUAAGGA